GGAGCGUUACUCUGUACUAAAAUGGCGGAUCUGUUGACGCAUUCCGUCCAAAACACAACAUUAGGGUAGGCGACAUUUAACGUAUAUAUCUAUGGACGCUAACUAGUAUUCACGUAUCAUGCUCAACUCUUAAUAUUCUUUUACGCACUUUGAGAGUGUUUGCGUUAUUUCAGAGAGAUAUUUAAGCACAUAUGAAGUAACAGUGCCGUCUGUGUACUAUAGCUACACAAUGCAGCAUUUAGCUCGCUCGUAAACAUCGCUGCUGUCCUCAGAUCAUUGUCUGAGCAGAAGUUUCAUCAUAAGCCAUGACUGUCAGAUGCUCUUCAUCUCAGGAGCUGUAUUUUUAUAUGCUUGAUAACAGAUAUAAGCGAGAAGAGGCUGAAUCCAAAGCCCGAGAAGAAGCAGAGAAACAGCGGAUCGAACGAGAGAAACACUUCCAGAAGGAGGAGCUGGAACGCUUGGAAAGAAAGAAGUGUCUGGAAGAAAUCAUGAAGAGGACUCGUAAGAGUGACGCAGGAGCACAGUAAUACAGAAAAAUCCGUCAGAAGCUCUUCAUACUGGUGCGACAAACCAAUCACCAAUGAGCUCAGUGUCCUGGGACGCAGCACCGGUCAUUAACGGAGCUCCGCCCACUAAGCAUCAGAAUGGACUGUCCUCCAAUGGAGACGCUGCAGACUUUGAGGAGAUAAUCAAGCUGUCCAAUCACAGUGGGAACAGUGGGCAGAGUCAACCGGCUGACCCAAUCAUGGCCUUCGAGGGAGGAGAACCGUUCAUGAUGAAGGCGGGGCCUAUAAAACCUCAACAUGUGGCAGAGGUGCUGUGAGAGAUGAGAUAUCAGAGUCUUCUGGAUAUGAAGAGAAGAAGAGAAGCCUUACUCUACCACCGCUUCCACCCUGAUGUGUGCCAAACCAACAAAAACAGACUGCUUUAACUUUAGAAACACAGCCGAGCCGGACGCGCUCAGGAGAAAGUGCCAGAUGACGACCUUAAAGAGACACUUAUAUACAUAUACAACAUUUGCAAAAAGUCUCUGUCUAUUUCACUGUGUGUGUCAUGGUGCAACAUUUGUUGAGUUUCUUUAACAAGUCACCUGCCGAUCAUGUGGUGCACCUUAAAAGAGUCGCUAUAUAUUGAAUUUUAGAAAAGACAACUUGGCUUAUCUUUAUGAUAUGAAUUAUUGUUGUUGUUGUUGCUCUUGUUAUGAUGUAUUGUUAUCGUUCUUUGAAGUAGAGAAAAAAAGCAAACGUGUGUCUUGAACUAUUGCGUUAUUUAACGUGUGGCGCAUCAGAAGAGGCCGAUAUUCUGUAUGUUAAUGUAUAUUUGCCUGAUUAUGACAGACCUGUGGAAUAAAUCUUUAUGAAAGGG
rnacentral:lncRNA from 1 species